rnacentral:rRNA from 1 species
GAUGAACGCUGGCUACAGGCUUAACACAUGCAAGUCGAGGGGAAACGACGGGGAAGCUUGCUUCCCCGGGCGUCGACCGGCGCACGGGUGAGUAACGCGUAUCCAACCUGCCUCUGACUGAGGGAUAACCCGUCGAAAGUCGGCCUAAUACCUCAUGGCAUCGUCUGCGGGCAUCCAACGACGAUUAAAGAUUUCAUCGGUCAGAGAUGGGGAUGCGUCUGAUUAGCUUGUUGGCGGGGUAACGGCCCACCAAGGCGACGAUCAGUAGGGGUUCUGAGAGGAAGGUCCCCCACAUUGGAACUGAGACACGGUCCAAACUCCUACGGGAGGCAGCAGUGAGGAAUAUUGGUCAAUGGGCGAGAGCCUGAACCAGCCAAGUAGCGUGCAGGAUGACGGCCCUAUGGGUUGUAAACUGCUUUUAGGCGGGGAUAAAGUGAGGGACGUGUCCUUCAUUGCAGGUACCGCAUGAAUAAGGACCGGCUAAUUCCGUG